GGGGGAGGCGGGGCUUUCCGAGAGAAGAUCACCGCCGUCUUCUGAGGCUUGGUGCUUUGGCCUUUUGUUGAAGGAUCCAUCACCCAGAGAGAGUAUCUGUGUCCAGAAUCUGCCCAGCGGGAAAGUGACUCAGAGCAGCUCUGGGGUUCAGAGAGCUGAGAGGCCGGCUUUUGAUGUGCCUUUAGCAUAUCGCUGGGCGCCACCCAGGAAUCCAAAAGCCACGCAUGGGCAGACCGGGGCUGCUGUGAAAGCUCCUCCCUGGGACACUCCCUGGCUCCCUUGGGGGGAUCCAAGAUGGCAACGUGCAAGAUGGCCACCAGUAUUACAGCUGACUAUCGCCAGCAAGGAGAGAUACAUCCCAACACCUAGAACAGUACCUGGUAUCUACUAGAUACUCCAUAAAUAUUCUUUGAAUAUAAGAUUGAAUGAAAAGAUGGAGUCGAACCCGGUUCUGAUGACAUCAUUUGAGUGCUGGACCUAUUGUGUCUGAAGCAAGACCAAUUCUAGACUUCUCAGCGCUGAUUUCCUUCAUGGAAACAUGAGAGCAGGGAAAUGGCAGCUAACAAUUACUGAAAUACUCUAUGUCAAGGGUACACGGCAAGCAUCACUGCUCAUUCUCACAAAGACCCUGUAAGGUGAAGACAUUCUGUAUGCAUGGUACCGAAGAAGAAAGUAUACUCUGUGAAAGGUGGAAUUUUGGGAUGCGUGAUUGUAGCCAUUGUUUACUGAGCAUCUACUGUGUGCCAGUCCUCCAGAUGUGCCAUGACAAAAAUAACAUUCAAGUAUUUCUGGGUUUCUUCUGGAAAACAAGCUUGAGAGUAAAGAUGGCAGCUCAACACUUCUGUGAACUCAAAGGCCAAGAGAUUGACAAUGAGUGAAAUGGAUCAUGAGCCACAUUUGGUGAACCAACCAGAUCGACUCAGGCACAAAGAGAAGGUGUGGGUUUGGUGGAGUGAUGAGAGGUUCUACCCUUUCAAUUGGUUUGCCAGUCUUGAUCUGAAUUCCUCACUAAUCUCUGAAUAACAGAAUGGGAAUAAAGAGAGUUUUCAAA